rnacentral:rRNA from 1 species
CCUACGGGUGGCAGCAGUGAGGAAUAUUGGUCAAUGGACGAGAGUCUGAACCAGCCAAGUAGCGUGAAGGAUGACUGCCCGAUGGGUUGUAAACUUCUUUUAUAUGGGAAUAAAAUGUUCCACGUGUGGGAUUUUGUAUGUACCAUAUGAAUAAGGAUAGGCUAACUCCGUGCCAGCAGGCGCGGUAAGACGGAGGAUCCGAGCGUUAUCCGGAUUUAUUGGGUUUAACGGGAGCGUAUGUGGAUUGUUAAGUCAGUGGUGAAAGUUUGCGGCUCAACCGUAAAAUUGCAGUUGAAACGGGCAGUCUUGAGUACAGUAGAGGUGGGCGGACUUCGUGGUGUAGCGGUGACAUGCUUAGCUAUCACGAAGAACUCCGAUUGCGAAGGCAGCUCACUGGACUGCAACUGACACUGCGGCUC